UACGGCGGUGGCUAGCGUUGUUCGGAAUUACUGGGCGUAAAGCGCACGUAGGCGGACCGGACAGUCAUAGGUGAAAUCCCAGGGCUCAACCUUGGAACUGCCUUUGAAACUAUCGGUCUGGAGUUCGAGAGAGGUGAGUGGAAUUCCGAGUGUAGAGGUGAAAUUCGUAGAUAUUCGGAGGAACACCAGUUGCGAAGGCGGCUCACUGGCUCGAUACUGACGCUGAGGUGCGAAAGCGUGGGGAGCAAACAGG
rnacentral:rRNA from 1 species